AGCUGCACUAUCUCUCUGCAUUAUCGCUCCAGACCUUCCUCCUUUUCUCCGAUUUCGAUUUCCGACUUCAAUUCCGAUCGACGCCUCCCCUCUAUCACAAGGUACUCGAUCUCCUAACUCUCCAUCUCAAGAAAAACUGCUGUUUGAUUGUCUUGGUGACGAUGCAGUCACUUCCUCUUGUACAGACUAUUCAGACUUGUUUAUUAGGUUCUACAGCUGGUUAAAUCUGCUUUGAACAUUGGGAGUUUUGUUUGGCUUUUGUCUUUUAAGCAUGGUAGAUUCGUUUAAGAAUCGGAUACUUAGUGUGAAUAGUGCUUCAGUAGAUGUUGUUUUCGUUGGUCUAGUUUCGUUGGAAAUUUUAAGAAGGUGGCCUUUUGGGUUUAAGCUGGGGUGUGUUGAAAAAUGGAAAUCGUGUGUUAGGUUGGAAGCACAAGGGGAUAUGUAUUGCCGAGUACUGAUGGUUUUCAGUUUGGAGCAGAGAUAAGUAAAGGAGAAUGGGAGGGUGCUGUUGUUGUUCUUCUGAAGUAACCGAGCUGAGGCCGUACCAACAUGCUACUAUGUUUAUCCGAGGACAUCUGUAGAGCACGUGCCCCUGUCAUCUCGUUAAGGUGCCUCUGCACUCUCCACAGGCCUCCUUGUAGAUACAAAUGUGGAUGCAUCAAUGCCUGACGAUUAUAGACCACCUCCUGCCCCUUUUUCUUUUGAUGUGUCAGAAGGGCAUCCACGGACUCUACCAGUGGCCCAAGAAAUUUCUGGCAUCAAGAAUGAUGCAACAUUGCAGACAAACAACUUCUGAUUCUGUUCAAGAAGCAGCUGGUGACAAUCCUCAGGAAACUUCAUCCAAGUGUGAAGACCCGAAGAACAAAGUGUACACCAAGUUAGAGCUCGAUCCAAUUAAGAAGGCAGAAGUUGAACUUUCGAAACCAGUGAAAUCUGUUGCUUUAGUCACUGAGGAGGAGGAUGUUGGCCCCGACUGCAUGGAAGAGUAUGACGAAGAAAAUCUAAGAAGUGCCACUAAAUACGACCACCAUUUUCACCUUGCUUGCAUUCUUGAAUGGAUGGAAAGAAGUGACUCAUGUCCGUGUGCGUUCAGGAAAUGAUAUUUGAUCCUCCUAUUGAUUUAUGGUAUCAAGCUGUGCAGGUGUUUGACGGUUUGAUUUGGCGGACGAAUUGUGAUUCUUAUUCGAGUUAUAAGAAGACGCAGCGGGAUUAGAGCGGGAAGUCUUGCAGGUUAGGAGAAUCAGGGCGGUGAUCGCGCGGAUUAGAGUAUAGUUUUAGUUUUACAGUGAUUGUAUUAGUGAGGUGAGUGAUGCUCAAUUUGAGCUUUACAUAUUUACGUUGUAUAAAUGAGUUGUAAUAAAUAAAUUGAGAUUUGUAA